UACGUAGGGUGCAAGCGUUAAUCGGAAUUACUGGGCGUAAAGCGUGCGCAGGCGGUUAUGUAAGACAGUUGUGAAAUCCCCGGGCUCAACCUGGGAACUGCAUCUGUGACUGCAUAGCUAGAGUACGGUAGAGGGGGAUGGAAUUCCGCGUGUAGCAGUGAAAUGCGUAGAUAUGCGGAGGAACACCGAUGGCGAAGGCAAUCCCCCUGGACCUGUACUGACGCUCAUGCACGAAAAGCGUGGGGGAGCAAACAGG
rnacentral:rRNA from 1 species